rnacentral:rRNA from 1 species
GACGGAGGGUGCUAGCGUUGUUCGGAUUUACUGGGCGUAAAGGGCGCGUAGGCGGCCUUCUCAGUCGGGUGUGAAAGCCCGGGGCUCAACCCCGGAACGGCACCCGAGACGGGUUGGCUGGAGACCGGGAGAGGAGGGUGGAAUAGCCAGUGUAGAGGUGAAAUUCGUAGAUAUUGGCUGGAACACCGGUGGCGAAAGCGGCUCUCUGGCCCGGUUCUGACGCUGAGGCGCGAAAAGCGUGGGGGAGCAAACAGG